rnacentral:misc_RNA from 1 species
UUACGGACAAUAAUAGAAGAAAAAAAUCAAGUCCACUAGUGCGUAUCGUACACAGCUCAAAAUCUGGGUAUUGGUUCGGGAAAA